CCCUAAGCGGACAUGGUUUAUUUAUUUUUUUACCCCUGUUUUCUUGAGAUCACGAGAAAACUGUCUCGUAAUCCUGAGAAAGCAGGGGUAAAAAAAAUAAUAAUAAUAACCAUGUUCGCUUUGGG